rnacentral:rRNA from 1 species
CUUGGUCAUUUAGAGGAAGUAAAAGUCGUAACAAGGUUUCCGUAGGUGAACCUGCGGAAGGAUCAUUAAUUAUGUUAAAGCGCCUUACCUUAGGGUUUCCUCUGGGGUAAGUGAUUGCUUCUACACUGUGAAAAUUUGGCUGAGAGACUCAGACUGGUCAUGGGUAGACCUAUCUGGGGUUUGAUCGAUGCCACUCCUGGUUUCAGGAGCACCCUUCAUAAUAAACCUAGAAAUUCAGUAUUAUAAAGUUUAAUAAAAAACAACUUUUAACAAUGGAUCUCUUGGUUCUCGCAUCGAUGAAGAACGUAGCAAAGUGCGAUAACUAGUGUGAAUUGCAUAUUCAGUGAAUCAUCGAGUCUUUGAACGCAGCUUGCACUCUAUGGUUUUUCUAUAGAGUACGCCUGCUUCAGUAUCAUCACAAACCCACACAUAACAUUUGUUUAUGUGGUGAUGGGUCGCAUCGCUGUUUUAUUACGGUGAGCACCUAAAAUGUGUGUGAUUUUCUGUCUGGCUUGCUAGGCAGGAAUAUUACGCUGGUCUCAGGAUCUUUUUUUUUGGUUCGCCCAGGAAGUAAAGUACAAGAGUAUAAUCCAGUAACUUUCAAACUAUGAUCUGAAGUCAGGUGGGAUUACCCGCUGAACUUAAGCAUAUCAAUAAGCGGAGGA